CGUAGCUGCGAACGCUGGCGGCAGGCUUAACACCUAUGCAAGUCGAGCGGGCGUAGCAAUACGUCAGCGGCAGACGGGCUAGAUGAGUAACGCGUGGGAACGUACCUCCUCGUUUGGUUCGGAACAACACAGGGAAACUUGUGCUAAUACCGGAUAAGCCCUUACGGGGAAAGAUUUAUCGCCGAAUCGCUAGAUCGGCCCGCGUCUGAUUAGCUAGUUGGUAGGGUAACGGCCUACCAAGGCGACGAUCAGUAGCUGGUCUGAGAGGAUGAUCAGCCAC
rnacentral:rRNA from 1 species